rnacentral:lncRNA from 1 species
AACAUCCCUUCCUCACUCCAAACUCCCUCCACGAACCUUCACUGACGCACAACCUCUUCAUCACACCUACCCUCUUCUUCCUCAAACUCCACAACCACCGUCGACCGCUUCUUCUUCUUCUUCGUCGCGAAGCACAAACCUCCACUGACGGAAAACACUCCUCUGGCAUCUCCGUGAAACACCACCAUCAAAUCUGUCAUCCACAUCGCAAAAUCGUUCACCCUUUUUCACCUCUUUCGUCAACACCUCAAAAUCCCUUGCACCCCCAACUGAAAACCAUUUCGACCUCCAUAAAUCGCUGUCGCGAAAUCCCGAUCCAC